CUGAGCUCCUCACCCGAGCCGAAAAAUACAUUAAUAUGUAGGAAACACUAAAUCCAAGGAAACCUGGUCCUUCCCAUGAAAAGGCCAAGAAUAAGAGGCAACAUGAUCCCAUUCCCCGGCAUGAGCUUCCUCGGGAUAAGCGUAGGAAUGAGGCGUCGUCAGCACCACUCACUCGGUUGAACACCUCUAAGACAAAUAUCUUGAUGGAGAUUAAGGAUAUGAAAGAAUUAAAGUGGCCUUCAAGGAUAAAGUCACCCCCUGACACAAGAGAUAGGAGCAAGUAUCGCGAAUUUCACCGGGAUCAUGGGCAUACCACAGAGGAUUGUCAUGUUUUAUAGCGAGAAAUUGAAGUCCUUAUCAAAAGAGGAUUUUUAAAGAAUUACAUUGGUCAUGAUAAACACCCGAGGAAUGACCGUGACAAUCGAAAAGAGCCUGGAGCCGGAAGCAGUGCUCAACCCACCGCCAGGACCAUUAAUAUUAUAGUUGGGGGCAUAGCAUCCGGAGGAGACACAAGUACUGGGCGAAAGCAGUAUGCCCGCCAACAUGCUCAUAUGCCAAGCGAAUCCCAUGAUGAAGUCAAAGACAUCACUUUUGAAGCAACAGAUUUGGAAGGAAUAUCAUAUCCUCAUGACGAUGCCUUGGUCGUCUCUGCGAUUGUGGCUAACUUCGAAGUAAAAAGGAUUCUGGUUGAUAAUGAGAGUGCAGCAAAUAUACUCUCGUAGGAGGCUUUCGCCAAAAUGGGGAUCUCUCCCAAACAGCUCAAAGCAGUAAAAACUCCUCUACAGGGAUUUGGUGGUGGAGUCAUUAUCCCUGAAGGCAUCGUCGAGCUCCCGCUUACAUUAGGAACUAGUAACACACAAGUGACGGAGAUCACACCAUUCCAAGUGGUUAAUACCCCAAUGGCCUACAACAUCAUUUUGGGAAGACCCCUACUGAACAAAAUCCAGGAUAUUGUGUCAACUUUCCACGUAGCCAUGAAGUUCCCCACAUGUCAUGGCAUCAGAGUAGUUUGAGGAGACCAAACAGCUGUCAGACAGUGCUAUGUUACUAGCAACCGAGGGAUGAGUACUGACGUCAUGCAACUUUCAGACCUCGAGCUCGAGCUCGAGCCAAGGAGUAGAUUGGGCCCCGUUGAGAAAUUGGAAGUGGUCGAGCUCGAGCAAGGAAAAGUGGUUACUAUUGGUCGGGAUCUUAAGGCCAGCCUUCGGGAGGAAGUCAUCAAUUGUCUGUCCCACAACAUUUAUAUUUUUGCAUGGAAGGUGGAGGAUAUGCCAGGGAUAGACCCAGAAGUAGCUGUCCAUAGACUCAAUAUCAGCCCAGAGGCCAAACCUGUUAAGCAAAAGAAGAGGCAGUUUGUGCCGAAAAGACGUAUGGUCAUUCAGCAAGAGGUCGACAAAUUAAUGAGAGCGGGGUUCAUUAGGGAAGUCCAAUACCCCGAUUGGCUCGCUAACGUUGUUCUUGUAAAGAAGGUCAGUGGCAAAUGGAGGGUUUGCAUCGACUUCACCGAUCUCAAUAAGGCAUGCCCAAAAGACAGCUACUCGCUACCCAGGAUUGAUAAUCUUGUGGAUAGCACAUUCGUACAUAAGCUGUACAGCUUUUUAGACGCAUUCUCAGGAUAUCAUCAAAUCUUCAUGGCCAAAGAAAACCAAGAGAAGACCUCAUUUAUAGCUGAUUCAGCCAUAUAUUGCUAUCGGGUCAUGCCGUUUAGGUUGAAGAAUGCUGGGACAACAUAUCAGAGCCUGAUCAACAAAAUCUUUGCUAAUUUGAUAGGGAAGAAUACUGAGGCCUACGUUGAUGACAUGGGGGUAAAGAGCAGGAAGCUAGAAAGACAUGUAUCUGAUCUCGAGGAAGUGUUCGCCACCCUACGAAAGUAUAAGAUGAAGCUCAAUCCUGAAAAGUGUCUAUUUGGCGUUGCUUCGAGAAAGUUUCUGGGUUUUAUAAUCACUCAUCAGGGGAUUGAGGCCAACCCCGAUAAGAUUCAGGUUUGGCAGCAAUGGAAUCACCAAGGACCAAGAAAGAAGUUCAAAAGUUGACAGACAGGGUAGCCGCCUUAAACAUGUUCAUGUCCUGAGCAACAGACAGGUGCUUCCCUUUCUUCAAAGCCCUCAGAGGUAAUCAUUGCUUUGAAUGGAAUGAGGAGUGCGAGAAAGCUUUUCAGGAGCUCAAGCAGACAUUGGAAUCUCCUCCUAUCCUCACAAAACCCGAACCCGGGGAUACUUUGUAUUUGUACUUAGUCGUGUCUUAGAAUGCAGUGAGUGGUGUCUUGGUGAAAGAGGCUAACAGGGCCCAGCAACCCAUUUAUUACGUAAGCAAAGUCCUACCUGAUGCAGAAACAAGAUACACUUUCGCAGAACAGCUUACCCUUGCAGUGGUAGUGGCAACACGAAAGCUUCGACAAUAUUUUCAGUCACGUCCUAUUGUAGUACUCACCAAUCAGCCUCUAAAAUACAUUCUUCAAAAACUAGACGUCUCAAGAAGAUUACUGAAGUGGGCAAUUGAACUCGGAGAAUUUGACAUAGAGUUCAAGCCCCGUCCAUCUAUCAAAGCUCAGGCCUUAGCUGACUUCAUUGCAGAACUCACCCUAAGGCCUCGGGGGCCAAAUGGUAGCUCGAGCUCCUCCACAGGCGUGUGGCAAAUUUUUGUAGAUGGAGCAUCAAAUUCCUUGGCCUCGGGUGCAGGGGUCAUAAUCAUAAGCCCGGACAUGCUCAUAGACAUUCAGUGUGCACUCAGGUUCGAAUUUGAGGCAACCAAUAAUGAAGCAUAAUAUGAGGCCGUCAUCAUAGCCAUGGAACUUGCCAUCAUCUCGAGCUUGAAAAUAUCAAAAUUUACAGUGAUUUUCAGUUGGUCGUUGGACAAAUUGAAGGGACGUUCGAUAGGAAGGACAAGAAGAUGAGCUUAUAUUGCUUGAAAGUGCAUGAUCUCCAGAGAAAGUUCAAGAGUUGUGAAAUUGUGAAAAUUACUCGGGCUGAGAAUUGUAAGGCCGAUACCUUGUCAAGAUUGGUGUUUAUGGGAAUAGAUGGGCUUGAUAGGACAGUCCAUGUUAGAAUUGUAACCGAGCUAAGAUCAAUCAGACCAUAGGCGUCAUGGAUAUUGAUAAUGAGCCAUCGUGGAUAGAUCCAAUAGUGGACUGCGUAAAACAUGGCAAUCUUCCAGAAGAUCCUCGAGUGGCAAGAAGAAUCCGGUGCAAAGCUCUAACGUAUUGCAUGAUUGAAGGAGUUUUAUUUCACAGAAGCCUUACACUUCCAUACCUCAGAUGCCUUAAGCCUUCCGAAUCAUCUCAGGCCCUAGAAGAAGUUCAUAAAGGAAUAUGUGGGAACCAUCAAGGAGCUUGGGCAUUAGCCUUCAAGCUCAUAAGGUAUGAAUAUUAUUGGCCUACCAUGAAGAAAGAUGCUCGGGAACAUGUCAAAAAGUGUGACAAGUGCCAGAGAUUCGACAAUAUCAUCCACUCUCUCGCGGAGGACCUCACUAGCAUUACUUGCAUGGCCCGUUUGAGCAGUUGGGAAUUGACAUCCUUGGUCCCUUUCCAAUAACUAGGGGGCAAUUGAAGUUUGUGGCUAUGGCUGUAGAGUAUUUCACUAAAUGGGUGGAAGUUGAGCCUUUAACAACGAUUUCAGAGCCUAAGUUGAGAACUUUCAUUUGGAAGUCCAUCAUAUGCAGGUUCGGGAUACCGAAAGUCCUCAUAACUAAUAAUGGCAGGCAAUUUGACAACGCACAAUUUAAAAACUUCUGCUCUAACCUGGGGGUCAAUCACCGUUUGACAUCAAUUUCCCGUCCUCAAAGUAAUGGUCUUGUCGAAAUGACCAAUCAGAUUAUAUUGCAAGACUUCUGUACAAGGAUCGGAGAUGCAAGAGGUUCCUGGUCUGACGAGUUACCUUCCAUACUUUGGACAUAUAGAACGUCCCACAGAAUCGCUACGGGGGAACCCCCUUCAUGUUGGCUUUCGGUAUUGAGGCCACCAUCCCUGUUAAAGUCAGGUUGCCCAGCCAAAGAAGACUCGAGCCCGAAGAUACAGGGCGCACCACUGAACACCUCGACCUCUUGGAAGAAGUUCGUGAUCAGGCAAUUUUAAGAAUGGCCUCUUACUAAGAUAAAACAGCAAAGUAUUUCAAUAAAAAAGUGAGGACGCGGAGAUUCAGAGCCGGAGACCUUGUGUUAAGAAGAGCCAAAGCAGCAGAUCAUGCCCCGGGCAAGCUACAACCAAUUUGAGAAGGGCUUUCGAAGUCAUACGACAACUUCAAGGAGGUGCAUACAGUUUAAGGGAUACAUCAGGGAGACCACUUCCAAGACCAUGGAACGUCGAGAAUUUAAAAAUAUAUUACAAGUAACUUGUUCUUCCAUUUUUCGGUAGUCAGGCCUGCGUGUCAAGGUUCACGUUUUCAGUUUUCAGGCCUGCGUGCCAAGUCUUAUUUUUCGGUAGUUAGGCCUGCGUGCCAAGGUUCACGUUUUUAGUUGUCAGGCCUGCGUGCCAAGUCUAUUUUAAAGUAUAAUAAGAAUUAAACUAUUCAUCAAAA
rnacentral:lncRNA from 1 species